CUACCUUUGCCUUUCUACCCUUUGAAGCCUCAGAUCCCUAUUCUCUUUAUCUUAGUCCAGAAUGAUGUAUGUACCACAUUUUUCCUGUCUUUGGAAUCUCUCAUGUGGAUUCCUUAUAUGUACAUGAUUAAAUAUGAUUUUCUCCUGCUAAUCAGUCUCAUGUCAAUUUAAUUUUUAGAUCAGCUGAAAGCAACGUUAAAGAGAAGAGUAAAAUCUUUCUUCUUCAACAAUGGUGUGAGAGGAGAGCUGCCAGAAAAUAAAUGCCACCUUCAUAUAACUGUAGUGAAGUCUCCAUUCUUUAUUGCAAGCAUUGCCAGAUUUUGGAAAAAGCUAAAUAUUCACUGCCCAAAUGCAGUUUCAUUCCUUCAAGAAGAAAAGUUCUCUCUCACACUUUCUGAGGGAAGAUGAUAUGAAGACACACAAGGGGAAGGCCAUGUGAAGACGGAAGGAUAGGAGGCAUGCAUCUACAAUGAAUGUCAAAGACUGCUGACAAACCACCAGAAGCUUAGGAAGAGCAAGGAAGGAUUCCCCUAUUGGUUUCAGAAGAAGCAUGGCCAUGCCAUUACCCUGAUUUUAGAAUUCUAGCUUCUAAAACAAUAGGAAAAUAAAUUUCUGUUGUUUUAAGUCACCCAGUUUAUGUUACACUUUUAUUCUUAUUAGUGGAUUAAAGAUUUUAAUUUUAUAUUGUCUGCUUUCCUGUGAGACACAAAGUUUUUAAUAUAUUCUAUGACUUUCUACACCACUUGAUUUAGCUUUGUACAUAUUUUGGAUCUAUAUUAAUAUAAGAAAUUGAUCCGUAAACUCUUUUUUUCUUGUUUGUUGUUGUUCAUUUGGUUUGUUGUCUUUAAUGUUUAAUUAGUCCAUUUUUCUAGACUGAAUUUGCAAAAGCCUUUGUUUUACUUUUUAUUAUUUAUUUCUAGAGGCAGCUUUGUGUCCUGUUUCAUUAAUUGUUUUUUCUUAUCAUAAAUAUUUCCUUUAUCUUUUAUUUAGUUUAUUCGGAUUUUCUUUUUCUCUCUUCUUAAAAAUUGCUAUGUACCUCAAAAAUUUGGCCUUUCAGGGCAUGUGGGUGGCUCAGUAGGUUGGGCAUCUGACCCUUGGUUUUGGCUGGGGUCAUGAUCUCCAGGUCCUGGGACCAAGCCUUGCACAGGGUUCCCCAUAUGGAAGGGAGUCUGCUUGUCUACCUUUCUCUCUGCCCCU
rnacentral:lncRNA from 1 species